rnacentral:siRNA from 1 species
UACACAUCACUAAGUCUAUUUGG